UAGGGAAUCUUCCACAAUGGGCGCAAGCCUGAUGGAGCAACACCGCGUGAGUGAAGAAGGGUCUCGGCUCGUAAAGCUCUGUUGUUAAAGAAGAACACGUAUGAGAGUAACUGUUCAUACGUUGACGGUAUUUAACCAGAAAGUCACGGCUAACUACGUGCUAG
rnacentral:rRNA from 1 species